AAUAUAUUUGACCGAAGCGUAGCGUAGGUCUACGUUUUGACUCGCGCAAUCUGCUUUCGUAUGUCCGGAUGUUCUCCUCUACAGGUCGCAAUUCUCAACCGAUUCGCGUGAAAUUUUGCGACCAUAUUCUAUGAUCAAAUAGAAUUUUUUUGUCGAUCCAGUUUUUGGAAUUUUUUCAAAAUGGCGGAGUCAUUGUACGUCGCGCCUAAACAAAUAGCCGUAUCGAUAUCAUAAGAGUUUCCUCCUUGUGAGACAUGGUUACAGAGUGAUUUGCGAAAAAUUCAGAUAUUUUAGAACGCUGGUUUAGGGGGUAUUUAGAUAUUUAGAUUAUACUCGAGAAUAAGUAGCCUAAUUUCACUGUGCACCUAUAUCCAUUCGUGGCUCAAUUGGAAUACACUAGCUUUACAAUCAUGAGGUUCCGGGCUCAAAUCCCGAACAAUGAAAUCUUUUUUGUUUUUUUUUAUGCACUUUAAUUUCCUAUUUUUUAUUGACUAAGCUUUGUAACAAGGAGAGAGAAGAGGACCCUGGAUCUAUUCCCUGAAUUGUAACAUGUUGUAUUUUUUUUGUAUUUAAAUUUCGUAUUGUUGAUCAAGCCAGCACGAAGCGCGAGCAAAGCGUAUUCGUUUCAGUUUUAUUGUCUGAACUUUUUUUACAGCCGUUAAAGUUCAAGGAGACGGACAGUUGCGCAGGAGAAAACGGGUUCAUGUUUAAAAAAAAUCUGAGCAGUUUUUGCAUUUGGAUUAAUUUAUCAACUUUGGCUUUGCUAUAGAGACGUAUAGUUGGUCAAGCAAAUCUUGUCAGUAGAAAAACGCGGCAAAUUUGAAAAAUCGCGGGCUAGCAACACUGUGUUCGAAUAAUUCCAAAAUCGCGUGUAAUCUGUGUUUUAUCUGUAGAAUGUGGAUCGUCCAUCUUGUUUGUUUACAUUCCGAAUCGGUGCUAAUUCAAGAGAAAUUUCUGCUCCCAGCAUUAAAAUAAAUAUCAAUAUAUUAAAUAAUAUUGUGCAUGACCAUAAGCAAAGUCAAGAUGCCUACAAUGGUUAAAAGGCUUACAUAAAGAUAAAACGUAUGCCUAAAUAUAUCCAAUAAGACCACGAAUUGUGCCCUCGAAACCGCAACUGAUUCGAUUGUUCCCAAUAUCAACAGACGAAGUCCUCAAAUAUUUUCAAAGGAUUAAAACUCGCCCAAUAUAAGGCGUUCGUAAAAGUUUCUCUUCAUACAAAACUUACCUACGGCGGUUUACGUACAUACGUGUACAACGCAAACAAGACGAAAAAUAAACUUGUUAAUUAAAAAAACUAAAAAAAUUGGGACAAUAGUUUAGAUUAUUAUUGUAAAAGUUGUCCGUUUGUUAAUCAUCACGAAAAUAUAUUAUUUAGGCUGAUUUGUUUCAUGCACUCAGCUAUUGCACAUGUAUACCUAUGGAAAAUCCUAGUUUAUACUUUCUGA